rnacentral:rRNA from 1 species
UGUGCCAGCCGCCGCGGUAAUACGGAGGAUCCUAGUGUUAUCCGGAUUUAUUGGGUUUAAAGGGAGCGUAGGCGGGAGGUCAAGUCAGCUGUGAAAUGUAUCUGCUUAACGGGUACACUGCAGUUGAAACUGGUUUUCUUGAGUGCGUAAGAGGCAGGCGGAAUUCGUUGUGUAGCGGUGAAAUGCUUAGAUAUGACGAGGAACUCCUAUUGCGAAGGCAGCUUGCUGGGUCGUUACUGACGCUGAUGCUCGAAGGUGCGGGGAUCAAACAGGAUUAGAUACCCUGGUAGUCCGCACAGUAAACUAUGGAUACUCUCUGCCGGCGAUACAUUGUCGGUGGCCAAGCGAAAGCGUUAAGUAUCCCACCUGGGGAGUACGUUCGCAAGAAUGAAACUCAAAGGAAUUGACGGGGGCCCGCACAAGCGGAGGAACAUGUGGUUUAAUUCGAUGAUACGCGAGGAACCUUACCCGGGUUUGAAUUGCUGAUGGCGGUAUUUGGAGACAGAUACUUCCCUUCGGGGCGUCAGUGAAGGUGCUGCAUGGUUGUCGUCAGCUCGUGCCGUGAGGUGUCGGCUUAAGUGCCAUAACGAGCGCAACCCUUGCCGUUAGUUGCCAUCGGGUCAUGCCGGGCACUCUAUUGGGACUGCCAUCGUAAGAUGUGAGGAAGGUGGGGAUGACGUCAAAUCAGCACGGCCCUUAUGUCCGGGGCGACACACGUGUUACAAUGGGGGGUACAGUGGGAAGCUACCUGGCGACAGGUUGCGGAUCCCCAAAUCCUUUCUCAGUUCGGAUCGGAGUCUGUAACUCGACUCCGUGAAGUUGGAUUCGCUAGUAAUCGCGCAUCAGCCAUGGCGCGGUGAAUACGUUCCCGGGCCUUGUACACACCGCCCGUCAAGCCAUGAAAGCUGGGGGCGCCUGAAGUCCGUAACCGCGAGGAUCGGCCUAGGGUGAACCUGGUGAUUGGGGCUAAGUCGUAACAAGGUAACCA